rnacentral:rRNA from 1 species
UACGUAGGGUGCAAGCGUUAAUCGGAAUUACUGGGCGUAAAGCGUGCGCAGGCGGUGAUGUAAGACAGAUGUGAAGAUCCCCGGGCUCAACCUGGGACCUGCAUUUGUGACUGCAUCGCUAGAGUACGGCAGAGGGGGAUGGAAUUCCGCGUGUAGCAGUGAAAUGCGUAGAUAUGCGGAGGGACACCGAUGGCGGAAGGCAAUCCCCUGGGCCUGUACUGACGCUCAUGCACGAAAGCGUGGGGAGCAAACAGG